rnacentral:rRNA from 1 species
GACGAACGCUGGCGGCGUGCUUAACACAUGCAAGUCGAACGAUGAAGCUGGAGCUUGCUCCGGUGGAUUAGUGGCGAACGGGUGAGUAACACGUGAGCAAUCUGCCCUUGACUCUGGGAUAACUGCGGGAAACUGUAGCUAAUACCGGAUACUUUCACUGGAAGGCAUCUUCUGGUGAAGAAAGAAUUUCGGUCAAGGAUGAGCUCGCGGCCUAUCAGCUUGUUGGUGAGGUAACGGCUCACCAAGGCGACGACGGGUAGCCGGCCUGAGAGGGUGACCGGCCACACAGGGACUGAGACACGGCCCAGACUCCUACGGGAGGCAGCAGUGGGGAAUAUUGCACAAUGGGCGCAAGCCUGAUGCAGCAACGCCGCGUGAGGGAUGAAGGCCUUCGGGUUGUAAACCUCUUUUAGCAGGGAAGUAGCGAAAGUGACGGUACCUGCAGAAAAAGCACCGGCUAACUACGUGCCAGCCGCCGCGGUAA